rnacentral:rRNA from 1 species
CAGCGCCUAACACAUGCAAGUCGAACGAGAUCUUUCGGGGUCAAGUGGCGCACGGGUGCGUAACGCGUGGGAAUCUGCCCUUGGGUUCGGAAUAACAGCGAGAAAUUGCUGCUAAUACCGGAUAAUGACGUAAGUCCAAAGAUUUAUCGCCCAGGGAUGAGCCCGCGUAGGAUUAGCUAGUUGGUGGGGUAAAGGCCUACCAAGGCGACGAUCCUUAGCUGGUCUGAGAGGAUGAUCAGCCACACUGGGACUGAGACACGGCCCAGACUCCUACGGGAGGCAGCAGUGGGGAAUAUUGGACAAUGGGCGAAAGCCUGAUCCAGCAAUGCCGCGUGAGUGAUGAAGGCCCUAGGGUUGUAAAGCUCUUUUACCCGGGAUGAUAAUGACAGUACCGGGAGAAUAAGCUCCGGCUAACUCCGUGCCAGCAGCCGCGGUAAU